rnacentral:rRNA from 1 species
UACGUAGGUGGCAAGCGUUGUCCGGAAUUAUUGGGCGUAAAGCGCGCGCAGGCGGCCUUUUAAGUCUGAUGUGAAAGCCCACGGCUCAACCGUGGAGGGUCAUUGGAAACUGGGAAACUUGAGUGCAGAAGAGAAGAGUGGAAUUCCACGUGUAGCGGUGAAAUGCGUAGAGAUGUGGAGGAACACCAGUGGCGAAGGCGACUCUUUGGUCUGUAACUGACGCUGAGGCGCGAAAGCGUGGGGAGCAAACAGG